rnacentral:lncRNA from 1 species
CCGGUAAAAAACUUACCCCUACGCGAGGGAGUAGAGUAAAAGCGUUGAGAGAAUAACCUCCUAAUUUAUUCUAGAACAAAGUACAUUUAUACGAUAUGUUGUUCCUCUAUAAUACUUAGACAAAUAAAGAAAAGUUUAUUUACAUAUAGUCUUCCAAUAUUACACAAAACAUUGGACUCAGAGGCGAAUUUAGGAUUUGUAAUACGUGGGUGAAGGAAAAAGUGUAUAUUUAGCACUCUUAUUCUAAUAACACAUGCAAAAUGAGUAUUUAAAGUAGUACCUAAUUAUGUUAGCACUCUUUGAUUAUGCAUAUACAAGGAUCUAACUAAAGUAGUACUUAUCGAAAUACUAAUAAUAAUAUCAGCAAACGAACUUUCUCUGUGCUUCCAGCAUAUCAGUCUUAGGUCUUAACUCAUGGACCAUAUUCUUAAACUCCUCGCGAUGUUCUUUAGUUUGGUAACAUGCUACAAUGAUAAUCAUAUCGAUCAUAGUUCAACUGAUAAUGCCACCAACACUACCUUCAUAUCCAACCGUCAGAGCAUUCUGCAUGAGAACUGCAUUUUCUCCCACAAGUCUCCUCUUCAUUUGGAUUUAAUUUCAAUUUCAUCAUUGAUAUAGAUAGCGGCAAGCCUCCCAUCGCCAUCAUUGAGUUUCGAGACAAAUCAAUUGUGCGCGUGCAUAAAAAUUUCGAUUAUAACCAACAUCAAGAUAAUUCUCAUAUAUAUACACAUUUCUAUGCAAUUUUUUUCUUAUGUAUAAAGCUAAAACCUAAGAGAACCACACACAAACAAAAGGGAAAAGCAAGUCAUUACCAGCAGUUUAUGUAAGNNNNNNNNNNNNNNNNNNNNNNNNNNNNNNNNNNNNNNNNNNNNNNNNNNNNNNNNNNNNNNNNNNNNNNNNNNNNNNNNNNNNNNNNNNNNNNNNNNNNNNNNNNNNNNNNNNNNNNNNNNNNNNNNNNNNNNNNNNNNNNNNNNNNNNNNNNNNNNNNNNNNNNNNNNNNNNNNNNNNNNNNNNNNNNNNNNNNNNNNNNNNNNNNNNNNNNNNNNNNNNNNNNNNNNNNNNNNNNNNNNNNNNNNNNNNNNNNNNNNNNNNNNNNNNNNNNNNNNNNNNNNNNNNNNNNNNNNNNNNNNNNNNNNNNNNNNNNNNNNNNNNNNNNNNNNNNNNNNNNNNNNNNNNNNNNNNNNNNNNNNNNNNNNNNNNNNNNNNNNNNNNNNNNNNNNNNNNNNNNNNNNNNNNNNNNNNNNNNNNNNNNNNNNNNNNNNNNNNNNNNNNNNNNNNNNNNNNNNNNNNNNNNNNNNNNNNNNNNNNNNNNNNNNNNNNNNNNNNNNNNNNNNNNNNNNNNNNNNNNNNNNNNNNNNNNNNNNUAUAAUAUGCUGGAAUCCAGUAUAUUACAUUGGAGUUUCAGCAAAGUAUACUGGAACUCCAGUAUAUUAUACUGGAAUUUCAAUAAAUUAUGCUGGAGUAUUUUUCGGAUUCUGAACAGUAUUUUCGUUCAAAUUUAUCUUUACAUGAACAGUGGCUAAACUUCGAUUACUUUUGAAAUUGUGUCUAUUUUUGAAUGACCACUUAUAAAUCUGGCUAUUUUUGAAUUUUUCCCUAUUUUCAUCGGUUAAUGUUGGACUUAAGCUAUGUCAUAUUUUUAUUGGUUAAUUUUUCCACUCGUAUUAUCAACUUAUUUUAGUGGAAAAAGAACUGGAUUCCCCUAAUUAAAAAUUAUUCUUAGGUCCUUGGAACAAAGAAUAGUUGAAAAAAAAGAGAUUCUUAAAUGAUAAAAGCAUUUCUAUAUAACUUCAUCAAUGACAUAAGGAAGUGACCUCAUUGCAAGUGCAAAUCAAAACCAAACGAACUUUUGGUUAAAAUGUUUUUCAUUCAUUAAGUGGAGCUAAAGAGUUCGGGCCAAGAAAUAGGAGUUGAAUCUGAAACUAAGGGGCAUUUCUAUAUUAUAAAUUUGUCGUAAAUAAAUGGUUUUACAAAGAAUUUAGUGAAUGAUUUACUAUAUCAUGUUUCCACUUCACUUCGUUUUCACUUUCAUAUCAAGAACUUCUUGUAAUAUCGAAUUUUACACUCUGUAUUUUGUAUACGGGUUCCGGUUUCCGAUAAAAUAAAUCGAGUAUGGGACAUGAUGGCAAGGAGCCGGAAUCGAGAUGAGAGAGUCAUCGAGACAAGUUUCGAGGUACACGCUUGCCCUCGAAAAUAUCGGGGUCGUGACCCCGGAUCGGUCUAAAUCCCAAAAGACUUCGAGGACAUUAUCGGGCAAUCGAACACGAUUAACAGAAGGCCGUAAUAUCCGUGACCGGCCGAAUAUCACGGCGUGGAUCUUGGCACAUAUCGAUAGAAAAUCGGUGAUUAUUUAAAUAGAAGAUUUUUUACCUUUUAUAUAAUUUUACUUAGGAUAAAACUGCACUACUAUAUAAAGGGGAGUCUGAUUAUUCAUCGAACAUAUUGUAAUAUGCAUACCAAUGCGAUACACUAUUAUUUUUCUGUUAGUCAAAGCUCUUAUGUUUGUUGAUCAGUGUUUUAUUAUUAUAAGCCUGGGAUCGAGGACGAAUACCUAAUUGAGGUUUCCCUCGAGUCCGGAAUCGUCUCCCCCUUUAUUUUCAAGCAGUUUGAUAAUUUAUUACAUCUCUUAUCUGUUUAUCCUAGCAAUCAUUACUGUUUGUGUUAAAUAACGUAUUCUUAAAACUACUUAUAAAUUUAAUUUUUAUCCAUUUUUUAGGAUAAACGGUUUGGCGCACACCAUGGGAAUAAGAAUAGCAGUGGCAAUUUGAUACAAAUUUUCAUAACACACCCUAUUUAACACUUGUUCUUUGAAGUGUCUUUAAUUUAAGGUAAAAGUUUAAAUUGUCGAACUCCCAAUCUGCCCCUCUAAACAUGGAUGCUGAGUCCGGCCACCAUGGCGAGAACAAUAAUAUGGUACCUAGUAACGAGGUGCCCCCUGCCGAUCCCUACAGAGUCCUGGCCGCGGACCCGAUAACGAGGUACAUACUCACAUGCGGCCAUCAAUGUGAAUUUGCCUGCUGAUCCUGAGAACAACGUCCGUGGGGGAGUCUGAUACGUAGCCCAAAAUACAUAUGACGAUGAAGGAGAUGGGAUCAACUUGCAGGUAAUCUUCGAAAUGCUACAGGCUCAACAGACAUCGAUAGCUCAAUUACAGAACCAAAGCCGCACUCCCAGUAGAGUUGAGCCCGAACCAUACCAGGAAAACACUCGUUGAAAUGAACCAGCCACAAAGAGGCCAAGUGAAGCUGAAUUCGGGACCAGCCCUAAGAUAAUAAGAUGUUCGAGGAAUUGACAAAACAGGUAAAAAUGGGAGAAAAGAACAUCGAAGCUAACGACAAAAAGGUGGAGACCUACAACUCUAGGGUCGACCAAAUUCCAGGAGCAUCGCUGACACUGAAAGGCCUAGAUUCCAAAAUGUCUGUUCAAAAAUCUUUCCCUCUAAGCAACUCAGAAGCUGAUCCCAAAAAAGUUUUGCAUGCCCGAAAAUUCCUAAGUACAACGGAACAAUUGACUCAAAUGAACAUGUGACCUCCUACACAUGCGCCAUCAAGAGGAAUGACUUGGAUGAUGAUGAGAUCAAAUCUGUCCUAUUGAAAAUAAGUUGAGAGACCUUGUCAAAAGGAGCUAUGAUAUGGUAUCACAACUUACCCCCCCCCCCCCAAUUCUAUUGACUCAUUUGCUAUGCUUGCAGAUGCUUUUGUAAAAGCGCACGAUGGAGCCAUCAAGGUCGAGACAAGGAAGUCAGACCUUUGUAAGGUAAAGCAAAGAGAUAACAAGAUUCUUAGGGAGUUCUUGUAAAGAAUUCAAAUGGAACAGAUGGACCUGCCACCAGUGGCAGACAGUUGGGCCAUUUAGGCCUUCACCCAAGGACUCAAUACUCGAAGCUCAUUGGCUUUGCAACAGUUGAAGCAAAAUCUGAUAGAAUAUCCGACUGUAACUUGGGCAGAUGUGAAUAACCGGUAUCAAUCAAAAAUUAGGGUCGAAGAUGCUUGGGGCCCCUUCCGGGUCCGCUUAUCCCAUCAAAGCUAGUGACAGAUCCAAAAGAGAUAUUGAUCAUUAACCAAGAUCAAAUAGAGAUCGGUAUCAACCACACAACGGUGAUCAAAGGGGUAAUGGGUCUGGACGAAACCCUGUGAGAAGUGAAAGCAGAAGUGAUCGAGGUCAAAUUAACUGGGGACUCAUGAGCAAAAGAAAUUUCGACAGGCCCAUCGGACCUAAGGAAGGGUCAAGGUUAUCAGAGUAUAACUUCCAUGUCGAUGAUGCUGCUAUCGUAUCUGCCAUCGGACACAAAAAAGACACUAAGUGGACUCGACCUUUACAGUCCGAUCCUGCUCAAAUGGACCCCAACCUAAUAUGUAAGUAUCAUGGUACUCACAGCCAUAGAACUGAAGAUUGCCGACAACUGAGAUAAGAAGUAUCCCGGUUAUUAAACAACGGACACCUCCGAGAGUUCCUGAGAGAUCGAGCCAAAAGUCAUUUUAGGAAUAGAGACUCCAAUAAGCAUAUCGAGCAGGAGGAAUCUCAUCACGUCAUUAACAUGAUCAUCGGUGGAGCCGACGUCCCCCAGGGACUAAUGUUAAAGCGCACCAAAGUGUCCAUCAUAAGGAAAAAACAGACUUGAGAUUACAUGCCAAAGGAAAUCGUAUCCUUUAACGAUGAUAAUGUUGAAGACAUCAUGCAAUCACUCAAUGAUGCAUUAGUAAUAUCUGUACUUAUAAAUAAAUCUCGAGUUAAGCGUGUGUUAAUUGAUCCACGAAGCUCGGCCAAUGUCAUCCGAUCGAGGGUCAUAGAUCAGUUGGGUCUACAAGACCAAAUUGUGCCUGCAGUCCGAGUUUUAAACGGAUUCAACAUUACAUGUGAGAUCACUAAAGGGGAGAUAACCUUGCAGGUGACCACCGUCGGAACCAUUCAGGAAAUAAAGUUCUACGUGAUCGAAGGAGAUAUGAGAUACAAUGCUCUAUUUGGGAGGCCUUGGAUUCACAAUAUGAGGGCAGUUCCCUCGACACUAUACCAGGAGUUGCAAUACCCAACUUCAGGAGAGGUUAAAACUAUUUACGAAGAACAACCGACCGCAAAGGAGAUGCUCGCGGUCGAUAAGGUGGUCUCAAUAUUUUCACUCUCGACACCAAAUAAUCUAAUUUUGAUCACUAAGGAAGAAACCAAUAACAAUUACCGAUGUCGGGUCCCAGCCGAGCCGGACAAGUAGGGGACGGGAGAGGAUGACGACUACGGUGUUCCCAGGUCUUUCAUAGCCCCCAAUAAUUUGGAUGCCACCAAAUCGAUGAUUGAGGAACUGGAACUAGUCAUAUUGGUCGAGCACCUACCCGAUUGUAAGGUAUACCUGGGCACGGGGUUAAGUCCCGAGCUUAGGAAAAAACACAUUAAAUUCCUUAUAGCUAACAUAAAUUGUUUCGCUUGGUCCCACCUUGACAUGAUAGGGAUCCCGUCGGAAAUAACUACUCACAAGCUAAGCCUGGAUCCAAAGUUCCACUCGGACAAACCGAAAGUGAGGCCUCAGUCCGACGUCAAGCAUGCACUCAUCAAAGAUGAGGUAUCUAAAAUCCUUAAAAUAGGAUCCAUUCGGGAAGGUAAAUACCCAGCUUGGUUAGAAAACGUAGUUGUAGUCCCUAAAAAUUGAAAUAAAUUAAGAAUGUGUGUGGACUACAAAGACUUAUACAAGGCAUGCCACCAAGUAAUGUUUUCCUUUGCCUAACAUCGAUCGCAUAAUCUAUGCUACCCAAUACUAAUUAACAGUUAUUUAAUUCAAUUUAAGUCAUUAAUAAGUGAUAAAUCCCAAAAUAAAGUGAAAUAGAACAAGUGCGGAAAUAAACCAAGCCCGACAUCGGGGUGUCACCAGUCAUGAGCAUCUAACAUAAGUCUAAGAGUAUGGAAAAGGACUACAUAGUCUAUUACAGAAUCCAGUAAAAGGGAAAAUAAAGAUAGGAGGGAGAAACACUGGGCUACGAAUGCUGAGCAGCUACCUAGUGCACUCUGAAUAGCCCGCUAGAAGCAGUCAGCCCUCGCUAGCAGGACCGAGGCUCCUGUAUCUGCACGCAGGGUGCAGGGAGUAAUGUGAGUACGCCAACUCAGUGAGUAAUAAAAGUAAAGGCAGCUGAGCGAUACGAAAACACGUAAAACACAACGAAAUGCUACAAAGAGGCAGUAUGAAAUCAAUACAAUGCAAUAGAAUAGUGAAAACUUGUAAAAACGCCUCAGUUCAGUAAAAACCUCUUUAAAACAUCUUUUAACAGUUAAACAAGUGAAUGAAAGAAGCGAGAAAAGAUAAACACAUAAAAUCAGCCCCUCGGGCACAAUAUCAAUAGAAAUCUGCCCCUUGGGCAAUAACAUGGAACAACACCAGCCCUUCAAGCUAUAUCACUUAUCACACUAGGUACCCGAGCUCACUGGGGGUGUACAGACUCCGGGAGGGGCCCCUUACGGCCCAAGCGCAAUAAAAAGCCAUCUCAUGGCAUAAUCAACAGGCUUUCGGUCUCAUAUCAAGCUACCUUGUGGCGUAUAACUCAGGCCCUCGGCCUCAAAAUCAUGAAUCAGUAUAAUAGUGUUGCGGCGCACAGCCCAAUCCCAUAAUAUCCUCACAAUAUAGGCCCUCAGCCUUACUCAGUCAGAAUAUCACAAGCCACUCGGACAACAGUAAAACAUGAUGCUCAGCCCAAAAAUAUCAUUUAAAAUUUUAAAAACGAGUAAAGAUGGCUGAGUUGUGAAAUAGUAGAAUAUAGCAUGACUGAGUACAACUACGAAGACAAAAUAGUGAGGUAUAGUAUUAAAAAUCCCCUAAGGGUCCAAAUAGUUGGCACGAGACCCAGAUAUGGCAUUCAACCCAAAACAAGAUGAUAACAAAUAGUUUUCAAUCAAAUACGCAGUUAAACAGUCAUACGGGAUAGACUAAGUCACAAUACCAAUGGUGUACGACCCCACGCUCGUCAUCUAGCAUGUGUGUCACCUCAAAAUAGUACAAUAAUGUGAAAUUCGGGGUUUUAAACCCUCAGAACAACAUUUAAAAUCAUUACCAACCUCUAUCCGGUCCAAACUCUAUCCCGCGAUGCCUUUGUCUCUCGAAUCGGCCUCCGUAUGCUCCAAAUCUAACCAAAAUCAGAACAUAACCAUCAAAAUAUGCUAAGAGAACAAAGCCCACUCGAAGGAAAUCAAAUUACAACACCAAUCCCGAUAUUAACCAAAACCCGACCCCCAGACCCACAUAUCAAAAUCUGAUAAAAAUUACAUCAAUAAACUCAUUAUCCUCCCACGAGUUUAUCCAUAUCAAAAGUACCAAAAUCCGAUCACAAAUGACCCCUCAAACCCUUACUCAAAGGUCUCCAAUUACAAGCCCUAGUUCUUCAAUAUUUAGGCUUAAAUUCAAUAAAUUUCAUGAUUAAUUAGGUAGAAACCACAUUAGGAUUGAGUAUUAAGUCCAUAAAUAUUACCUCCAAGUGUUCCCCCUUGAUUCCCUCUUCAAUCCUCUUCAAAAAGCUUUAAAAUCGCUCAAAAAUGGUGGAACUUAAGCUUAACAUCGCGGAUAUGGCCUUUUGAAUCAUUCUGCCUAGCUAUUCAAAAACCUCCUUCAUGAACGCGGACAACGCCUCGCGUUCGCGAAGCACAAACUUAAGUUGACCAGAAUUCCUCAUACAUGAACGCGGCGACCCCUCGCGAACACUAUGCCUCAGCAACUCAAACCAUCGUGAACGCGUCUGCUCUCUCGCGAACGCAAAGCUUCCUGACUCCAACCUUUCGCCAACGCGGGACCUACAUCGCAAAUGCAAAGGCCAAACCUCCAGAAUCAACUCCUAAGCCUUCACGAACGCAAGGGCCCACUCGCGAACUCGAAGGCCAAAAGUCUGCAACACUCACAUCAUAUUUUCUGCAAUUUUUCUCAACUUGAAAUAAUCAGUUUAACCACCCAAAACUCACCCGAGGCCCUCGGGACCUCAACCAAACAUGCCAGCAUAUCCCAUAACAUCAUUCAAACUUGUUCCAACCUUCGGAACACUCAAAACAACAUCAAAAUACCAAAUUUGCAUUGGAUUCAAGCCUAAGAAUUCCAAAAACUUCCAAAUUCCGCUUUCGAUCAAAAAGUCUAUCAAACCACGUCUGAAUGACCUAAAAUUUUGCACACACAUCCCAAAUGACACAACAGACCUACUGUAACUCCCGAAAUUCCAUUCCGACCCCUAUAUCAAAAUCUCACCUACCAACCGAAAAAUACCAAAAUUUCAAUUUAAAUCUACUCCGUACCUCUAAAACACAUUCCGAUCACGCUCCUAAGUCCCAAAUCACCUUCCGAAGCUAUCCGAACUCACAUCCAAGCCCUUUACCAGAUAAGUCAAUAUCCGGUUGACUUUUCCAACUUAAGCUUACUCAAAAGAAACUAAGUGUCUCAAACCUUACCAAAACCUCUCCGAACCCCAACCAAUCAACCCGAUAACAUAAAAUACAGCUAAACAAGACAAUAAGAAGCAGAAAUGGGGGAAACAGAGAGGUAACUCAUAAAACGACCGGCCGGGUCGUUACAUCCUCCCCCUUUUAAACAAAAGUUCGUCCUCGAACGAGUCAAGAAACAUACCUGAAGCCUCAAAUAGGUGAGGAUAUCUACUCCGCAUCUCCUGCUCUAUCUCCCAGGUAGCCUCCUCCACGGGCCGACCUCUCCACUGCACUUUCACUAAAGCUAUAUCCUUUCACCUCAACUUUCGAACCUGACACUCCAAAAUUGCUACUGGAUCCACAUCUUAAGUCAAAUCAUCAUCUAACUAAACCGUGAUGGAAUCCAAAACAUGAGACAGAUCACCAAUAUACUUCCGGAGCAUAGAAACAUGAAAUACCAUAUGUACACUCGACAAGCUGGGUGGCAAAGCAAGCUCAUAAGCCACCUCCCCGAUCCUCUGAAGCACCUCAAAAGGCCCAAUGAACCGAGGAAUCAAUUUACCCUUCUUCCCAAAUCUCAUAACACCCUUCAUGGGUGAAACCUUCAACAGAACCUUCUCAUUAACCAUGUAGGACACAUCCCGAACCUUCCUGUUAGCAUAACUUAUUUGUCUCGACUACACUGUACGAAGCCUCUUCUGAAUCACCUUCACCUUGUCUAAAGCAUCCUGCACCAAGUCUGUACCCAAUAGCCUAGCCUCACCCCGCUCAAAUCAACCAACUGGAGAUGUACACCGCCUCUCAUACAAAGCCUCAUAUGGAGCCAUAUGAAUACUCGACUAGUAACUGUUGUUAUAAGCAAACUCUGCGAGCAGUAAAAACUGAUCCCAUGACCCUCCAAAAUCAAUGACACAAGAACGCAACAUGUCCUCCAAUAUCUGAAUAGUGUGCUCGGACUGCCCGUCCGUCUGAGGGUGAAAAGUUGUGCUCAACUCAACUUGAGUACCCAACUCUGGAUGCACAGACCUCAAAAACUGCGAAGUAAACUGAGUGCCCUUAUCUGAAAUGACGGAAACUGGGACACCAUGCAAACGAAAAAUCUCCCAGAUAUAGAUCUCCACCAACCGCUCUGAAGAAUAGGUAGUACACACAGGAAUGAAGUGCGCGGACUUGGUAAACCGAUCCACAAUCACCCAAAUAGAAUCGAACUUCUUCAAAGUCUGUGGGAACCCAUCUACAAAGUCCAUGGUGAUCCGCUCCCACUUCCACUCUGGAAUAUCCAUAUGUUGAAGCAAGCCACUUGGUCUCUGAUGCUCAUAUUUCACCUGCUGAAAAUUGAGACACCGAGCUACAAAUCCCAUAAUGUCCUUCUUCAUUCUCCUCCACCAAUAAUGUUGUCUCAGGUCCUGAUACAUCUUUGCGGCACCCGAAUGAAUGGAAUACAAUGAGCUAUGGGACUCAUCCAGAAUCAACUUCCGAAGCCCAUCUACACUGGGCACACAUAUCCGUCCAUGCAUCCUCAAUACCCCAUCAUCACCAAUAGUCACAUUUCUGGCAUCAUCGUGCUGAACUCUGCCCUUAAGGACAAGCAAAUGAGGAUCAUCAUACUGGCGCUCUCUGAUGCGAUCAUAUAAGAAAGACCAAGAAAUCACACAAGCCAAUACCCGACUGGACUCCGAAAUAUGCAACCUCACGAACCGAUUGGCCAAGGCCUGCACAUCAACUACAAGAGGUCUCUCCCCAAUUGGAAUAUAUGCCAAACUCCCCAUAUUCACCGCCUUCCUACUUAAGGCAUCGACCACCAUAGUAGCCUUCCCCGGAUGGUACAAAAUAGUAAUAUCAUAAUCCUUUAGCAACUCCAACCAUCUUCGCUGCCCCAAAUUGAAAUCCUUAUGCUUGAACAAGUGCUGGAGGCUACGAUAAUCAGUAAACACCCCACAAGAUACACCAUACAAAUAAUGCUUCCAAAUCUUCAACACGUGAAUCAUGGCAGCUAACACCAAAUCAUGAACAGGGUAGUUCUUCUCAUGGGGCUUCAACUGACGAGAAGCAUAAGCAAUAACUCUACUCUUCUGCAUCAAUAUACACCCAAUACCAACUCUCAAAGCAUCACAAUACACGGUAUAUGAACCUGAAGGUGAUGGCAAAACUAACACUGGAGUCGUGGUCAAGGCAGUCUUGAGCUUCUAAAAGCUCUCCUCACACUCACCCGACCACCUGAAUAGAGAACCCUUUUGAGUCAACUUAGUCAAGGGAGAUGUGAUAGAUGAGAAUCCCUGAACAAACCGGCGGAAAUAACCCGCCAAACCAAGAAAUCUUCGAAUCUCUAUAGCUGAGUACGGUUUGGGCCAAUUCUAAACCGCCUCUAUCUUCUUCGGAUCAACCUGAAUACCCUUGCUAGACACCACGUACCCCAAGAAAGCCACUAAACUAAGCCAAAACUCACACUUGGAGAACUUUGCAUAAAGUCUCUCCUCCCUCAAUCUCUGCAACACAACUCUCAAAUGCUCUGCAUGCUCCUCCUAACUACGCGAAUACACCAGAAUAUCAUCAAUGAAAACUAUGACAAACAAGUCGAUAUAGGGCCGAAACACGUUGUUCAUCAAAUGCAUGAACGCUGCUGGUGCAUUGGUUAGCCCAAAAGACAUCACCAAGAACUCAUAAUGACCAUAUCGGGUCCUGAAAGUUGUCUUAAGAAUAUCCGAGUCCCUGAUCUUCAACUAGUGAUAACCUAAACGGAGAUCAAUCUUGGAGAACACCCUCGCUCCCUAAAGUUGGUCAAAUAAAUCAUCAAUACGAGGCAGAGGAUACUUGUUAUCAAUUGUUACUUUGUUCAACUGCCUAUAAUCAAUGUACAUACUCAUAGUGCCAUCCUUCUUCUUCACAAAUAGAACAAGCGCACCCCAAGGCGACACACUAGGCCGAAUGAACCCCUUAUCAAGGAGUUCCUGAAGCUGCUCCUUUAACUCAUUCAACUCCAUUGGUGCCAUACGAUAAGGUGGAAUAGAAAUAGGUUGAGUGUCUGGCACCAGAUCAAUACCAAAAUCAAUAUCCCUGCCCGAUGGCAUGCCCGACAGGUCUGCAGGAAAUACAUCGGGAAAAUCUGUCACAACAGGAACAGAAUCAAUACUAGGAGCCUCUACACCGAAAUCCCUCACAAAGCCUAAAUACGAAAGACAACCCUUCCCAACCAUACGCUAGGCCUUUAAGAAUGAAAUUACCCUACUGGGAACAUAAUCAAUCGAACCUUGCCACUCAACCGUGGCACACCCGGCAUAGCCAAUGUCACUAUCUUAGCAUGAUAGUCCAAAAUAGCGCAACACAGAUAUAGCCAAUCCAUGCCCGAUAUAAUAUCGAAGUCUACCAUACAUAAUAAUAAAAGAUCCACUCGGGUAUCCAGACCCCUAAUAGUCACCACACAUGACUGGUACACAUGGUCUACAACAACAUUAUCGCCCAUCAGAGUAGAUACACGAAUAGAUGAAAUAAGAGACUCAUGGGGCAUAUCCAAAUAACGAGCAAAGUAUGAUGACACAUAAGAAUAAGUGGAACCGGGAUCAAAUAAUACAAAGACAUCUCUGUGUUAGACCGAGACAAUACCUGUGAUCACUAAAUCUGAAGUAAUGGCAUUGGGUCUAGCUAGGAAUGCAUAGAAACGGGCCUGACUGCCACCUGAUCGACCUCCCCCUCUAGGGAAACCCCUAGCUGACUGACCUCCACUCCUAGCUAGCUGAGUGGGUGGUGGUGAAGUAACUGGUGCUGAAGCCGAUGGCUGACUCCUUUGCUGAGAUGAACCCCCAAGACAACGAGGAUAGUGCCUCCACAUAUGACCCAUCUCUCCACACUCAUAGCAACUCCCGAGUGCUGGACACGGGGACUGAAGGGAACCCCUAGCACCUGAAUGAAUAACAGAUGCACCUGGCAUAGAAGAGCCAUGGACUGAUAGAGUAUGGGACGAACUCUGGGCUGGAAGGGCACUGAGUGAUGACUGGCCUUGAUGAGAACUGUGAGAACCAUGAUCACAUAACUCCCCACGAUAACCUGGGCGAGCUGACUGAGUAUGUCUGAAUGGACAGCCUCUGACGUGCUGAAGGUGACCUCUCGAAGGAGCACCACCAUAACUAUCAAAUCCCUGAGGCCUCUUGGCCUCCCUCUCAUCUUGCUCCCGGCGAUGAACUGACUCAAUCUCACGAGCAAUAUCAACAUCCUCCUCAAAGGUAGCACCAGACACCCUCUCCCUGGUCAUGAGAAUGCGAAGCUGAUAAGUGAGGCCAUCAACAAACCUCCUGAUCCUAUCUAUAUCUGUCGGAACCAACCGAACAACAUGACGAGCUAACUUUGAGAACCUCAUCUCAUACUGCGUCACCGUCAAAUCUCCCUGACGCAACCACUCGAACUGCCUGCGUAGCUCCUCUCUACGAGACUAUGGUACUUCUCUAAAAAGAGAAUGAAGAAUUGCUGCCAGGUAAGGGGUGCAGCACCAACAGGCCUACCCCUUCUCAUAAGUCCUCCACCAAGUAAAGGCAGCUCCAAAAAAUUAAAAAGUAGUAAAUUCGACCCCCGCUGGUCUCUAGAAUACCCNNNNNNNNNNNNNNNNNNNNNNNNNNNNNNNNNNNNNNNNNNNNNNNNNNNNNNNNNNNNNNNNNNNNNNNNNNNNNNNNNNNNNNNNNNNNNNNNNNNNNNNNNNNNNNNNNNNNNNNNNNNNNNNNNNNNNNNNNNNNNNNNNNNNNNNNNNNNNNNNAGGCUGAAGUCUACCAAACCUCUCCAACCUGCACUACUCGUCCUCUGGCAUAGCAGGAGCUACAUAGUCCUGAGCAGCUGCAACUGGCUGGGCUAUAUGUGCCCCCGGUGUCUGAAGUCCCUGCAUGACCUGCUCAGGUGUGCAAGCGGCAAAAGUCUGAGUGCCUCCUCCGGCCUGAGAAGUAGUUGCGGCUGUAGUAACUAAGAUCGCCUGAGUUAGGCCAGUGCAUAUUGAUAGAAUCUGAGCCAGGGCCUCUUGAAUACCUGGAAUCACAAUGGGCACAACUGGUGCCUGAGUUGGUGCUGCUGGAGCGUCCACAACUGGGACCUAAUCAUGAACUGGGUGGUAGGUGGAUCUGCAGGUGCUUCCCUAGCUGCUGUGCGGGCUACACCCCUUCCUCUACCACGGGCUUGACCGCAUCCUCGGCCUCUGGUGGCCACAGUUUGUGGUACUGGUGGUCGUCCGUCCAGACCGGUCGCUCGUGUCCUUACCAUCUGUGAGAGAAUAGAAUAACAAAAGUUUAGUACUCAGAUCAACAUAUUCGCACGACAAGAAUUUCAAGAAUAUGAAGUUUUUCCUAAAUGUUUUGAAUCCUCUCGAGGAUAAAUAUAGACGUCUCUGUACCGAUCCGCCAGACUCUACUAAACCUGCUCAUGACUCGUGAGACCUAUGUAACCUAGGCUUUGAUACCAACUUGUCACGACCCAAAACCGGACCCGGUCGUGAUGGCACCUAUCAUGAAACAAGGCCAGCCGACACAAACCCCCAAUACCAAUUAACUGUUAUUUAAUUCAAUUUAAGUCAUUAAUAAGCGAUAAAUCCCAAAAUAAAGUGAAAUAGAACAAGUGUGGAAAUAAACCCAGCCCAACAUCGGGGUGUCACCAGUCAUGAGCUUCUAACAUAAGUCUAAGAGUAUGGAAAAGGACUACGUAGUCUAUUAUAGAAUCCAGUACAAGGGAAAAUAAAGAUAGGAGGGAGAAACACUGUGCUGCGAACGCCGAGCAACUACCUAGUGAACUCCGAAUAUCCCACUAGAAGAAAUCAACCCUCGCUAGUAGGACCCGAGGCUCUUGUAUUUGCACGUAGGGUGCAUGGAGUAAUGUGAGUACGUCAACUUAGUGAGUAAUAAAAGUAAAGGCAGCUGAGCGAUAAGAAAAUACGUAAAACACAGCGAAAUACUAUAAAGAGGCAGUAUGAAAUCAGUACAAUGCAAUAGAACAGUGAAAACUUGUAAAAACACCUCAGUUCAGUAAAAACCUCUUUAAAACCUCUUUUAACAAUUAAACAAGUGUAUGAAAACCAGCAAGAAAAGAUAAACACAUAAAAUCAGCCCCUCAGGCACAAUAUCAAAAGAAAUUCGCCCCUUGGGCAAUAACAUGGAACAACAUCAGUCCCUCGGGUUAUAUCACAUAUCAUACUGGGUACCCGCGCUCACUGGGGGUGUACGGAUUCUGGGAGGGGCCCCUUACGGCCCAAGCGCAAUAACAAGCCAUCUCGUGGCAUAAUCAACAGUCUCUCGGUCUCAUAUCAAGCUACCUUGUGGCGUACAACUCAGGCCCUCGUCCUCAAAAUCAUGAAUCAGUAUAAUAGUGCUGCGGCACGUAGCCCAAUCCCAUAGUAUCCUCACAACACAGGCCCUCGGCCUUACUCAGUCAGAAUCUCACAAGCCACUCGGGUAAUAGUAAAACAUGAUGCUUAUCCCAAAAUAUCAUUUAAAAUAUCAAAAACGAGUAAAGAUGACUGAGUUGUGAAAAUAGUAGAAUAUAGCAUGAUUGAGUACAACUACGAAGCCAAAACAGUGAGGUAUAUUAGUAAAAAUCCCCUAAUGGUACAAACAGUUGGCACGAGACCCAAAUAUGACAUUCAACCCAAAAACAUGAUGAUAACAAACAGUUUUCAAUCAAAUAUGUAGUUAAACAGUCAUACGUGAUGGACUAAGUCACAAUCACAAUGGUGUACGACCCCACGCUCGUUAUCUAGCAUGUGUGUCACCUCAAAGUAGCACAACGAUGUGAAAUCCGGGGUUUCAAACCCUCAGGACAACAUUUAAAAUCAUUACUCACCUCUAUCCGGUCCAAACUCUAGCCCGCGAUGCAUUUGCCUCUCGAAUCAACCUCCGAAUAGUCCAAAUCUAACCAAAAUCAGAACAUAACCAUCAAAAUAUGCUAAGGGAACAAAGCCCACACGAAAGAAAUCAAAUUACAACACCAAUCUCGAAAUUAACCAAAACCCGACCUCCGGGCCCACGUCUCUAAAUCCAAUAAAAAUUACAUCAAUAAACUCCUUAUCCUCCCACGAGUUCAUCCAUAUCAAAAGUACAAAAAAUUGACCUCAAAUGACCCCUCAAACCCUUACUCAAAGAUCUCCAAUUACAAGCCUUAGUUCUUCAAUAUUUAGGCUUAAAUUCUACAAAUUUCAUGAUUAAUUAGGUAGAAAUCACAUUAGGAUUGUGUAUUAAGUCCACAAAUCUUACCUCCAAGUGUUCCCCUUUGAUUCCCUCUUCAAUCCUCUUCAAAAAGCUCUAAAAUUGCUCAAAAAUGGUGGAACUUAGGCUCAAAAUCGUGGAUAUGGCCUUUUAAAUCAUUCUGCCCAGCUAUUUAAAAACCUCCUUCGCAAAUGUGGUAAACGCCUUGCGUUCACGAAGCACAAACUUAUGUUGACCAGAAUUCCUCAUAGGCAAACGCGACGACCCCUCGCGAAUGCGAUGCCACAACAACUUAAACCAUCACGAACGCGUCUGCUCUCUCGAACCCGAAGCUUCCUCACUCCAACCCUUCGCGAAUGCAAGACCUACAUCACGAACAUGAAUUCCAAACUUACAGAAUCAACUCCUAACCCUUAACGAACGUGAGGGCUCACUCAUGAACACGAAGGCCAAAAGUCUGCAACACUCACAGCAGAAUUUCUGCAAUUUUUCUCAACUUGAAAUGAUUCGUUUAACCACCUGAAACUCACCUUAGGACCUCGGGACCUCAAUCAAACAUGAUAACAUAUCUCAUAAUAUCAUUCAACCUUGUUCUAACCUUCGGAACACUCAAAACAACAUCAAAAUACCAAAUUUGUAUCGGAUUCAAGCCUAAGAAUUCCAAAAACUUUCAAAUUCUGCUUUUGAUCAGAAAGUCUAUCAAACCACGUUUGAAUGACCUGACAUUAUGCACACACAUCCAAAAUGAUACAACGGAGCUACUAAAACUCCCGGAAUUCCAUUCUGAUCCCUAUGUCAAAAUCUCACCUACCAACCGGAAAACGCCAAAAUUUUAAUUUCGCCAAUUCAAGCCUAAAUCUACUCCGUACUUUCAAAAUACAUUCCGAUCAUGCUUUUAAGUCUCAAAUCACCUCCAGAAGCUAUCCGACCAUCGAAACUCAUAUCCAAGUCCUUUAUCACAUAAGUCAACAUACGGUUGACUUUUCCAACUUAAGCUUACUCAAAAGAGACUAAGUGUCUCAAACCUUACCAAAACGUCUCUAAACCCGAGCCAAUCAAUCCAAUAACAUAAAAUACAGCUGAACAAGGCAAUAAGAAGCAAAAAUGGGGGAAGCGGAAUGGUAACUAAUGAAACGACCGUCCGGGUUAGAGUUUUACGUGAAAAAAUCCCUACUCAAGGGGAUAAAAACCACGACCUACACUGGUAGGAUUUCAACUUCACUAUGAGCAACUUUUAGAUUACAACCUAUGCAAUUUAGGAAUUAAACUCUUAAUCCUUCACUAACUCGUAAUACACCUAUUACAAGCCACUUUGCAAUACACAUAUUACAAAGACUUCAACUCAUGAUUAACUCUAGUCACGACACAAACACACAGGGUUUAUAGUUUUACAAAGGGGUUCCUAAGUAACGCUUCUAGCUAAGCAGAUUAGGAAUUACAAUGAAGAACAAUUAUAAAGUUACAACUCAACUAAGGACAACAAAAUAGUAGAUUUAGGAACUGGUCCGUAGUAGCAUUUUACUUUGUUCUCGAGGGUCUUGAGAAUUAGAUUCAUGAUCUCUGAAGGCUUGAAUGCUUGAAGUGAAUUCUCAAGUAUUCAAGUGAUAUUUUGUUGUAAUACUCUUGUUAAUACAUCUUUGAUGAUAUCACUUGAAUGAUUUAAGCACUUGGUUGGUCAAAAGGACAAGUGACUGCAAAACUGCUGCACUGUGUGCACUGUUUCUGUGGCAAACACUUUCCAGAUGUGCACUGUUGACUUUCGUGCUGCUAUCAGGGAAACACAAGGGAUCAGGUCCCUAACUUUUUUCUCUAUUUUCUACACUUGUAUCAGUCACAUUAGCUGGAGUUUUGGCUGGAAUCCGUUCAUUAGCAAUGUGUACCAAGUGUGUCAGGUUCCCUAUCUGGUUCUUGACAAUAAGUUUGUUAGAUCAUCAAAAUAUAAGGCAAAGACAUUGAAAAUCCAUCAUUUACCUAAAGGAAAAAGGAUCAAUUCCCACUUAUUACUUUCUUUAUAAAAAUUCUAGAUCUGUCUCUGGCUUCGUGCAUAGUAUAAAUGCAGAGUUUACUUAAUACGGUUGUGAUCAUAAAAGUUGAGUCACUUAUUUGAUCUCUUCUAUUACACAAAACAUAAAUAGGAUUGAUAAAAGCGAUACAAACGUACUUCUUCUAAUUACAUGUGCAUAUACUAGCACAAUUAUACUACUUAUAGGAGUGCUUAGCAAUUGAUAAAUCUGUAGAUCUGAUAUUUUUAGACUUUGAAACAUUCUUCAAUUAGGCAAUAUGCUGCAAUGAUAAUGACAAUCAUUAGUAUAUGGCUGAUAAUGCCACCAACAAGUCCUGCAUAGUACUCCAUCUGAGCAAUCUGCAUCAGAACUGCAUUCUCUAUCACAAGUCCACUUAAAAAAGUCAUUUGGAAUUAAUGUCAUUUUUAUCAUUGAUAUAGAUAGCGGCAAGCCAGCUCCCUUUCCAUCGCUUUCAUCUCUGAGGUUUGAGUCAAAUCAACUGCAUAAUAUUUUGAUAUAACCAACGUCAAGUUUAAUUAUCAUAUAUACAUGUCUAUGUAAUACUCUUUUGUAAUAACAACAACAAACUCAAUGUAAUAUAACAAGUGAGAUGUGGGGGUUUGGGAGCAGUGAUGGAGACAGAAUUUCCAUAAAUUCGAAAUAUAAGUGAAAUAUUUGUACAUAAAUCCGAAAUAUAUGUACGGUCCCCUAAAUCUGCCCCUGUUGAGGAGGAUAGUAUGUACGUAUGGCUUACCCCUACCAUGUGAAGGUAGAGAGGCUAUUUCAGGUAGACUCUCGGCUAAAAAUAUUAAAAAAGAAAUAGCGACAACAACAAGAUACUAGAGAAAUAAAUUGGAUUUUGUCUUAUAUGCACGGUAUAAUUUUCCGACAGUAGGGGGUUCGGUGAACCCCCUUCUGGCCCCCUAAAUCCGUCCUUGCUAAGGAGGAUACUGUGUACGCAGGCUUACCGCUACCACGGUGAAGCUAGAGAGGCUGUUUCAGGUAGACUCUCGGCUUAAAGAAAAAUAAAAAAUAAGCGGUGACAACAAACAUUAACAACAAUAAGAUACUAAGAUAACUGAAGCAAAAUAAACAACAGUAAUAAAAAUCAAAGAAUAAGAUCUUUUCUAAUUAACAAGAACAAAAAAAGAGAGAGGAAAAAGAUGGAGAAGAGUAAGUCAUGGCAACAAUAAGGAGAAUGGAGAAGAAGAUACCAAAUCUAAGUAAAGAACUUUUUAUAGCCAUGGCAAUAAUGCUAUAAGCUUGAAGAUGUAGAGUAGAAGAGUAUGGUAAUUCCUUACUAGCUAAAACCAUAUUUAUAAGCAAAUUAUGAAUAUUAUAGGCUAGUGAUACUGAUAUUGACCUUUCACUUUAAUAUAUAAUAGUGGUUUAUACUUAAUAAUAUUAUAAAUUAAUUAAAGAUUUACCAAAUAUUUCUAAAGGAUGAAUAUAUGCUCUAUCGAUAAUUUUCUUUAUUAUUAUUUUUCUUAACUUGAUGUAGAGAUAUUUGACUGUCGUAUAUAAAAUUACUGUAUGUGUGAGGUGACGAGCAUAUACUCAAGAACUAGAGUAUAAUACUAGGCAGUAUUGUCGCUACUAGUCCGUGCAUGAUAUGGUAUACCCAUAUUUUCGCUAUAUUACAUGAUAUGUUACAUUGUGAUUGAUUUAAUGAAUGAGUUGUAGUUAAGAUUUGUUCUCUCAACAAGGGAUUGCCAGGUGUCAGUCACUGAACCUUGGAAUUUUGUAUCGUGACACGUGGAUUUCAAAGUAAUAUAGUUAAAUUAUACUAAUAUCCGUUUACCUCAUUUUACAAAGAACUAGAUUCUCUUUAAUUAAAUUAGUCUUGUCCUAGGACCAAAGAAUAGUAAAAAAAGAGAUUCUUUAAUGAUAAAUCAUCUAUCUAUCUGUGUAUAACUUCAUUUAUUACUCAAGGAAAUAACCUCAUUGCAAAUGAAAUCUUGAGUAUUGGAAUUUUGUUGUGAAAUUUUCCUUCGCUCUUAAUCAGAGAUUACAGAUUGGAAUAUUGAAAAUGAAGAAUUUCUCAGCAGAAAGUGUUUUAAUCUCUUUAAUGGGCGAAUAUGACCGAAUUGAUCAGUCGAACGAGUUAGUAAAUAUCGAAUAGUAGUACUAAAUAUCUAAAGAAAAAUAUGUUUUAAGUCAGAUAUUCAGAGUUAAUUAUACUUGUUGCUUCUUAUACUUACAUUGUAUAGUAUAUACCUAGGUAAAAAUAUAUAUUAUAUAGUAUAUAUAGAAGGUUCCAUGAUUUAUAUAGCUCUGGAUGUCUGAUUUAUAAUUAACUCUGCAAUUAACAUGUCAUUUAAAUCAGGUAUCCAGAAUUAAUUAUAAAUGACAUGAUUUAUUGCUUCUUUGGCUAAACUUUUGAAAAGCUAAAAACACUUUUUUCUUUUUUUCAGAAAAGCAAUUUUUUGAGAUUUGAGAUGUUUGAUAAAACAUAAAGAUUACAUGGUCAGUCAAUUAAAUGUAAGUCCAUAUUGGAGAUAACCAGUUCAUUAUUUUAAAGAUAACAUAAAAGAUAAUACAAAAGCGUUGAGAGACGCAACAGCAAUCCGGUAAAAAAAUUACCCCUACGCGAGGGAGUAAAGUAAAAGCGUUGAGAGAAUAACCUCAUAAUUUAUUCUAGAACAAAGUCCACUUAUACGAUAUGUUGUUCCUCUUUAAUACUUAGACAAAUAAAGAAAAGUUUAUUUACAUAUAGUCUUCCAAUAUUACACAAAACAUUGGACUCAGAGGCGAAUUUAGGAUUUUUAAUACGUGGGUGAAGGAAAAAGUGUAUAUUUAGCACUCUUAUUCUAAUAACACAUGCAAAAUGAGUAUUUAAAGUAGUACCUAAUUAUGUUAGCACUCUUUGAUUAUGCAUAUACAAGGAUCUAACUAAAGUAGUACUUAUCGAAAUACUAAUAAUAAUAUCAGCAAACGAACGUUCUCUGUGCUUCCAGCAUAUCACUCUUAGGUCUUAACUCAUGGGCCAUAUUCUUAAACUCCUCGCAAUGUUCUUUAGUUUGGUAACAUGCUACAAUGAUAAUCAUAUCGAUCGUAGUUCAACUGAUAAUGCCACCAACACCACCUGCAUAUCCAACCAUCAGAGCAUUCUGCAUGAGAACUGCAUUUUCUCCCACAAGUCUCCUCUUCAUUUGGAUUUAAUUUCAAUUUCAUCAUUGAUAUAGAUAGCGGCAAGCCUCCCAUCGCCAUCAUUGAGUUUCGAGACAAAUCAACUGUGCGCGUGCAUAAAAAUUUCGAUUAUAACCAACAUCAAGAUAAUUCUCAUAUAUAUACACAUUUCUAUGCAAUUUUUCUUAUGUAUAAAGCUAAAACCUAAAAGAACCACACACAAACAAAGGGAAAAGUNNN